rnacentral:piRNA from 1 species
UCUGUAAACCAAAGCGGACUUCAAGCCUG